rnacentral:lncRNA from 1 species
UGCAAGCAAGAAGCAAGCAAGGUUUUUUUUCUUGUGUUGCCAGGGAAAUCCAACAAGCUUGAAUUCUCUGGUACAAUUUCACAGUGAGUGAAUGUGAAUGAAUCCGCAUUUCCCUCACAGUGUACUCAUACCCUAAGUCUCUAGAUUACUGAAUGAAGGUAGGAGGUUUUGUUAGAGAGGAAGACCACCCAGCUGAACUGGAAGGGAAGGAAGAAGCCGAACAGAGCGGCAGGUUUUUGGAUGGCAGAAGCCAAACAAUAGUUCAUCUAGGUAAAGGAAGAAGACUUGGUGGAGGAGCUUAUCCUUCUUUCUUGGGAAGAGAUGUGAAUCUAUAUAUCGCCCAGAGGCUAAAGAAACAUGAAACUACAUAUUGAACGUAUGAACACUACAUUAUGCAGGGUCAGAACUUUGGCCUGUUCUUGCCCAGUCUUACUGUCUACUCUAACUGGUGGCAACUCUCCAAGGUCUGAGACAGAAGCAUUUGCCAAGUUUGCUCCCUGACAUCCUUUAGCUGGAGAGGCAGGAGACUGAACGUGGG